GUGCCAGCAGCCGCGGUAAUACGUAGGGCGCGAGCGUUGUCCGGAAUUAUUGGGCGUAAAGGGCUUGUAGGCGGUUGGUCGCGUCUGCCGUGAAAUCCUCUGGCUUAACUGGGGGCGUGCGGUGGGUACGGGCUGGCUUGAGUGCGGUAGGGGAGACUGGAAUUCCUGGUGUAGCGGUGGAAUGCGCAGAUAUCAGGAGGAACACCGGUGGCGAAGGCGGGUCUCUGGGCCGUUACUGACGCUGAGGAGCGAAAGCGUGGGGAGCGAACAGGAUUAGAUACCCUGGUAGUCC
rnacentral:rRNA from 1 species